ensembl:lncRNA
GGCUAUUGUAGUGGAAAUGCUAAGUCAUGACUUGAGGCAGUGAUUGAGCACCUGGUGGGAAGGCAAGGCCAUCCCAGGGGAGCUCAGGUGCAUGUAAUGCAAUGCACGUGAGUGAUCAGAAGAGGGUGGAGCCGGGAUCCAUCCCUCCCCAGACCUCAUUUAAGGAUUGGCAGUGGGGGUAAGCAUGUUUUGCCGGAGAUCCCUGUGUGCCUGAGGCCUUCUGAAGGUUAAAGCCAUUCCCCCUUAUCCUUUUCUUCAGGCAGCGCUGGGCACGUCCAACUGCUGGCUUUUCUCCUGCCGCUACCUGUUGCUCUGAAUGGAUUCGGUGAAAGGAAGCUUUGGGAUGGCAACACUGAAAUUCUAAGCCCUGCAAGAAGAGGAGACGUCACAGACAUUUGUGAGCAGCUGUGUUCAAGGGUGAAGCACAGGAAGAGUAACGUUUCAUCCAACAUCCCUGAUGAACACCAUCAGACCUCACUGAGAGCUGCAGCCACUGCCGCCGAACCACACUGAUGUGUUAGCAAGGUCAAAUAUCCCACUGGUUUGAUGGCUUUGUUGCUCUCUUUUUUCUACUCUUAUAAUAAAAUAUUAAAAAUUAAAAUAA